GUGUGUAUAACUCAGUGGUAGAGUGCAUGCUUAGCGUGCAUAAGGUCCUGGGUUCAAUCUCCAGCACCUCCA
rnacentral:tRNA from 1 species